AUGUUUAUAUGUAAUAGGUUGAUUGCACUAGUUACACGAGUAUGAAGCAUUGCAUUAUUUACUGUUGAUGGAGAUUGGACCAAGAACGACCCCAUUAGCCCUAGAGAUGUUGUGAGACCUGGCCGGGCCAGGCAUACAAUUAUAGUUGUUGUAAGACCUGGCCGGGCCAGGCAUACGAAGGUUGUGAGACCCGGCCGGGCCGGGCAUACUGAGACUGGAAGGGAUGUUUUGGGGUUGGGUCCAAUCCGUGAUAUGAUUUGUUUGUGCUAUGACGCAUUUCAUGAAAGCAUGUAAUUAAUGAACUGUUUUCUUUGUUUCUACUCACUGGGCUUUUUAGCUCACCCCUCUCCCCUAACCCCAGUUUUGCAGGUCAGAAGUAGUUCAGGAGGACGUCAAGGGUAAAGGUUAUGGUUAUGUAAUAGAUUAGUAAGCUUUUAGUGUGGACAUGUAUUAAGAUUCGAUAUUCUUUUUGUAAGAUGUUAUGUAUUGUAAGAG
rnacentral:lncRNA from 1 species